UCCGGCGUGGUCUAGUGGCUAGGAUUUCUGGCUUUCACCCAGAAGGCCCGGGUUCUAUUCGCGGCGUCGGAA
rnacentral:tRNA from 1 species